CUGGGUUAUGGAUUGAACCAGCUGUUGGCUCCGUCCCCUUUGCCUCCACUUUGCUUCCCAGCUCAGCCUCUCCUGCCUACAUUUAAUCCAGAAGUGGAGAAAUAGCUGGUGGCACGAGAAACCCGGCGAGCUGCUGCUGCUGCUGCCCAUGUCACCUGACGAGCUGUCUAAAACGCGGUCCUGUGGCAGCUUCCAAUUUGCCAGGCGCUAGCUGCUCUGGCACAGUUUGUUUAGAGUUACGGGUGAAUCUGUGGUACUCUCAGUGCUUUCUUUAACAGCCUGAUUGAGGAACAAGGUGGCUCAAUCAGAGCAGACUGCUUUUUUGUGGCUGCAAAUAUGGUGUUUGAAGGCCAGAAGGGGAGGAAGGAGUUUGGGAAAGAUUUCUUCGAGAAUGUGGUCCUCAUCAAGCAUGGGUUGUAGUUGUUUAAUGAUUUCCAGGAGGGAUGGUUUUUGAAGCCCCUUGGACUUAUCUUCUACAAAGCAUCAACUACAUGAUGUCAUUGCCUUUACACUUUUGUUUCCAUCACUCGGUACUUUCCAUCCAGGAAAUGGAAAACAACUAAGGACUGGAUAAACGAGAGAGAUACUUUCUACACAUUGCAAUUUGGUCUUUUAAAUGUUCCAAUCCAGGAGAAAUGAAAAUUGUUUAAAGUCUGCCAUUGGAAUGGCUAGAUAACCCCACUGGUUUAAGAGAAAUAUCAGUUUUAUAUUACUGAAAUAAAUCUUGUUUGGUUUGCUGUUUAUUUUGCACUAGAUUGAGCCUUCAAGCUCAACCUGAAUAAAGGUGGGUGUGUGAAUGCUCUAUCCCAGUAUAUGUUGGUGUGAGAAUGCUCUCAACUUAGAAAAGAGGAGAAGGAGGAGAGCUCCUUUCUAGGCUACAACAUGACCAGCUAAACUUGAUUGUGAAUGUGUUACUGCAUUUACAUGGGUGCUUAGGAACUUCACAAUUGUAUUAAGAUCGUUUUGUUGAGCUAACUGAAAUGGAAAACACACUUUUUCAUCAUUUAGGCAUACUCAUGGGCAUGAUCUAGUCCUUUAUUAUUUUGAUUACUCUCCAUUUUACCCCAUGUACUGUGGAACUUAAGAGAGUAUCUUAUGAUGCAGAAUGAUGAGUAGCUCAGGAAAUCAGAUACGUAAAAAUGCAUUUUAAGUAGUGAUAGCCAGUUAGAUGCUCCAGCUGGUGUAUAUAUACCUGGUUGAGUUUUUAUUUCUAAAAGUUUGAAAUGUUAACAACAUCAUACGAGAUUUUCACCACAUUUCAACCAGCUGUAUUUGUGCAGAAGCAUUAAUUUGUCAUAUGCAAACUGCUGUCACUAGAUGGUGAUACGUCCUCUCUCUCACAUACACAUAUACAGCAGCAGGUCUGACAUGUCAUCUGGAAUGUGCAUUGCUGUAAGACAGACAAACACAGACAUAUUGCAAUUACAGCCGGACUGUUUGAUUUCUGGUUGCAAGUGAUAAAUUAACUUGUAAAAGAGAUGUUACAGUCUUUUGAACAACUAUUUUAAAGCAUGUAAAAUUGAAA